rnacentral:rRNA from 1 species
AACGCYGGCGGCGUGCCUAAUACAUGCAAGUCGAACGCUUCUUUYCUCCCGAGUGCUUGCACUCAAUUGGAAAGAGGAGUGGCGGACGGGUGAGUAACACGUGGGUAACCUACCCAUCAGAGGGGGAUAACACUUGGAAACAGGUGCUAAUACCGCAUAACAGUUUAUGCCGCAUGGCAUAAGAGUGAAAGGCGCUUUCGGGUGUCGCUGAUGGAUGGACCCGCGGUGCAUUAGCUAGUUGGUGAGGUAACGGCUCACCAAGGCCACGAUGCAUAGCCGACCUGAGAGGGUGAUCGGCCACACUGGGACUGAGACACGGCCCAGACUCCUACGGGAGGCAGCAGUAGGGAAUCUUCGGCAAUGGACGAAAGUCUGACCGAGCAACGCCGCGUGAGUGAAGAAGGUUUUCGGAUCGUAAAACUCUGUUGUUAGAGAAGAACAAGGACGUUAGUAACUGAACGUCCCCUGACGGUAUCUAACCAGAAAGCCACGGCUAACUACGUGCCAGCAGCCGCGGUAAUACGUAGGUGGCAAGCGUUGUCCGGAUUUAUUGGGCGUAAAGCGAGCSCMGGCGGUUUCUUAAGUCUGAUGUGAAAGCCCCCGGCUCAACCGGGGAGGGUCAUGGAAACUGAG